rnacentral:rRNA from 1 species
GACGUAGGUGGCGAACGUUAUCCGGAAUUAUUGGGCGUAAAGGGUGCGUAGGUGGCCUGACAAGUUAUCAGUGGCAAAUCGAGGCUCAACCUCGUGGAAACUGGUAAUACUGUCCGGCUUGAGUACAGGAGAGGUUAACGGAACUCUAUGUGGAGCGGUAAAAUGCACAGAUAUAUAGAAGAACAUCAAUAAAGGCGAAGGCAGCUAACUAUUCUGUUACUGACGCUGAGGCACGAAAGCGUGGGGAGCAAAACGG